rnacentral:rRNA from 1 species
GGUUAAGCGACUAAGCGUACACGGUGGAUGCCCUGGCAGUCAGAGGCGAUGAAGGACGUGCUAAUCUGCGAAAAGCGUCGGUAAGGUGAUAUGAACCGUUAUAACCGGCGAUGUCCGAAUGGGGAAACCCAGUGCAAUUCGUUGCACUAUCGUUAACUGAAUACAUAGGUUAACGAGGCGAACCGGGGGAACUGAAACAUCUAAGUACCCCGAGGAAAAGAAAUCAACCGAGAUUCCCCCAGUAGCGGCGAGCGAACGGGGAGCAGCCCAGAGUCUGAAUCAGCUUGUGUGUUAGUGGAACGGUCUGGAAAGUCCGACGGUACAGGGUGAUAGUCCCGUACACCAAAAUGCACAGGUUGUGAACUCGAAGAGUAGGGCGGGACACGUGGUAUCCUGUCUGAAUAUGGGGGGACCAUCCUCCAAGGCUAAAUACUCCUGACUGACCGAUAGUGAACCAGUACCGUGAGGGAAAGGCGAAAAGAACCCCGGCGAGGGGAGUGAAAAAGAACCUGAAACCGUGUACGUACAAGCAGUGGGAGCACCUUUAUGGUGUGACUGCGUACCUUUUGUAUAAUGGGUCAGCGACUUAUAUUCUGUAGCAAGGUUAACCGUAUAGGGGAGCCGCAGGGAAACCGAGUCUUAACUGGGCGUUAAGUUGCAGGGUAUAGACCCGAAACCCGGUGAUCUAGCCAUGGGCAGGUUGAAGGUUGGGUAACACUAACUGGAGGACCGAACCGACUAAUGUUGAAAAAUUAGCGGAUGACUUGUGGCUGGGGGUGAAAGGCCAAUCAAACCGGGAGAUAGCUGGUUCUCCCCGAAAGCUAUUUAGGUAGCGCCUCGUGAACUCAUCUUCGGGGGUAGAGCACUGUUUCGGCUAGGGGGUCAUCCCGACUUACCAACCCGAUGCAAACUACGAAUACCGAAGAAUGUUAUCACGGGAGACACACGGCGGGUGCUAACGUCCGUCGUGAAGAGGGAAACAACCCAGACCGCCAGCUAAGGUCCCAAAGUCAUGGUUAAGUGGGAAACGAUGUGGGAAGGCACAGACAGCCAGGAUGUUGGCUUAGAAGCAGCCAUCAUUUAAAGAAAGCGUAAUAGCUCACUGGUCGAGUCGGCCUGCGCGGAAGAUGUAACGGGGCUAAACCAUGCACCGAAGCUGCGGCAGCGAC